rnacentral:rRNA from 1 species
CUUGGCGACCAUAGCGUUUUGGACCCACCUGACUCCAUCCCGAACUCAGAAGUGAAACGAAA